GUAAUGGUGUUUCAAUGGUAGAAUUCUUGCCUGCCAAGUAGGAGACCUGCCUGGGUUCACUUCCCAGCCAGUGUA
rnacentral:tRNA from 1 species